rnacentral:lncRNA from 1 species
AGAUUACAGCCGGUUGUUUUACAAGCUCACAACCCAACUUGUUGUUUUGCGAGAUCACAACGAACUCGGUCGGUUUUCACAGGCUCACCGACUAGAACCAACCGAUUGUUUUUCCGGGCUCACAAUCCAACCCAGUUGGUUUUUCCAAAGGCUCACCAACCACAACCUUACAACGAUUGUUUUUCGGAUUCACAAUCAACCCAGUUGGUUUUCCCAAAGGCUCACCAACCACAACCUUACAACG